CAUUGCCGCGACCAUUUGGCAACAACGAAAUAAUUUCCUAUAGUGACUGAAUGAUUUCUGUUUAAAUUAUGACGUAAUGAUGCUCUGCUGGCAACACGACCCUAAAUCAAGACCAUCCUUUCAAAGACUGUGUGAAUAUAUACAGAAGAUAAGAAAGAAUGAGUACAUCAGUAUCGGUAGCUGUGCCAAUAUAAGUGAUGAUGAAAACGACAGGGAGAAUAGCGACGACUACGACAACAAACAUCCUAUCUGGAAAUGUAAUGGGAACUAUGCUAUAGAAGAAGAUUCUGUGUAAUUUAUGAAGUGGGAGACAACGAAUGAACGUUUAAUUGAACAUCGGGUGUUGAGAGAAUAUAAGGAUUUUAGUACAACAUGUGGGUGUCAAGAGCAUGUGGAUGAAAGGGACAUGGGGACUAUAGUAACAUGUUUACUGAAUCAAUAUGUGGACUAAUGUAACAUGUUUACUGAAUCAAUAUGUGGACUAAUGUAACAUGUUUACUGAAACAAUAUGUGGGCUGAAGUAACAUGUUUACUGAAACAAUAUGUGGAGUAAAGUAACACGAGGAAUAAAGUAACACGGGGGCUUAAGUAACACGUGGACUUAAGUAACACGUGGACUUAAGUAACACGAGGACUUAAGUAACAUGUGGACUUAAGUAACACGGGGACUUAAGUAACACGGGGACUUAAGUAACACGGGGACUUAAGUAACACAGGGACUUAAGUUACACGUGGACUUAAGUAAGACUUAAGUAACAUGUGGACUUAAGUAACAUGUGGACUUGCGGAAUAAAGUAGCAUGCGGACUAAAAUAACACGGAUUAAGUAACAUGAGGACUAAAGUAACAGUUGGACUAACGUUACAUGUGGACUAAAGCAAUAUGUGGACUAGAGUUAUGUGGGUUUAGUAACGCAUGAACUAAAGUACAAAGUAAUAUAUGAGUUAAGUAACAAUUCGAUCAAAGGAACAUGCGAACAAAAGUAAGAUAUGACCUGGAGUAAUAUGUGGAAACAAGGAACAUGGGGUCUUAUUGAACAUAGGGGCUUAAUGAACAUGGGGUCUUAUUGAACAUAGGGACUGAAGUAACAUGGGGUCUUAUUGAACAUAGGGACUUAAGUAACAUGGGGUCUUAUUGAACAUAGGGACUUAAGAAACAUGGGGUCUUAUUGAACAUAGGGACGUAAGAAACAUGGGGUCUUAUUGAACAUAAGGACGUAAGAAACAUGGGGUCUUAUUGAACAUAGGGACGUAAGAAACAUGGGGUCUUAUUGAACAGAGGGACUUAAGUAAUAUGUGGUCUUAUUGAACAUAGGGACGUAAGAAACAUGGGGUCUUAUUGAACAUAGGGACGUAAGUAAUGUGGGGUCUUAUUGAACAUAGGGACGUAAGAAACAUGGGGUCUUAUUGAACAUAGGGACGUAAGUAAUAUGGGGUCUUAUUGAACAUAGGGACGUAAGAAACAUGGGGUCUUAUUGAACAUAGGGACGUAAGUAACAUGGGGUCUUAUUGAACAUAGGGACGUAAGAGACAUGGUGUCUUAUUGAACAUAGGGACUGAAGUAACAUGGGGUCUUAUUGAACAUAGGGACUUAAGUAACAUGGGGUCUUAUUGAACAUAGGGACGUAAGAGACAUGGUGUCUUAUUGAACAUAGAGACGUAAGUAAUGUGAGGUCUAAUUGAACAUAUGGACUUAAGUAACAUGGGGUCUUAUUGAACAUAGUGACUUAAAUAAUAUGAGGUCUAAAGCAACAUGGCAUCUGAAGGAACAACUAUCUUUAUAGAAUUUUUGUGAUUGAUCUAGGUGCACUCGAAUUUCCAUUAACAAAUUUUAACAGAUCAUAUUACCGGUAUAAGUAGUUACAUAUUUACAGCACCAAUGAAAUCUGGAAUUGAUGUUUUACAUCCUGGUCACUUGACACCAACAACUCCCAGCAGUGAGGAAGUAGAAGGUUGACGUUAUUGACAGGUAUCAUAUUUAUCAUUGAGGUAAGGCCAGUUGGCCAAUAAAUAAUCAGUCUACACUAAGUUUGGGGAUGGUCAUAUUACAGGACUGGUACAUUGGUACAUUGCUUUUGUUUGUUUGUAUUUCUAUUGAAUUGCAACAAGUAGGGGGGAUGUUCAUUCUACAGGGGCUUAUUGAUGGAUAUAUAUGUUAAAUAAUUAGAGCGAAAUGUAGGUAAAGAUUGUGCAUUUGAAUCACAUGGUAGCUCUUAACCCAAGCAUGCUACGGGCCUUAAUUUAGGUCCCUGUGCCUCCUUGUUCUUGAGAAGUCAUUUUUAGAUUUUAAUCUACUUGAAACCUAUGACCAUGAGUGUAGGUCAAGGUCAUUCAUUUGAACAAACUUGGAAGCCCUUCAUCCCAGUAUGCUACACACUUGACAUCAGAUCUCUGGGUCUCUUUGUUAUUGAGAAGAAGUUGUUUAAAGGAAAAAUAGUUGUUGCCAGCCAGCCAUAGCAUCUUUUUUUGUGCGUGUAUUUUUAGCAAUUCAAGGUAACAAAUUUUGGCUAAUACCAAUUCAAUGCUUUAAAAGAUUCCCUGAUGGCUUAAAUAAUACCUUAUGUUUAAGAUAAUCUCUGUUUUAAAAUGUUAUGUCUUGAAAGGAUUUCUAUGUUUGAAAAGAAUACUGUUGAUUUUAAAUGGUUAUGUCAUGUUAAAAAUGUUAGCUAAUGUUUUAAAAUGGUAUCUUAGGUUAACAUUGUUUGGAGACUUAAUUAUAUUCCUUGGAGAAUGAGAGAAUGUGUAUGUAAAUGUUGUGUAUUUUAUAUACUUUAUACAGUAAAAACCUGUCUAAUCAAUCCGCUGAGUAGUCUCAUUCCUGUCUAAUCUGACAUCUUGCCCCAUGAGAUUUCAUCAAGAAAUUUUGUGCAAUAAAUUUACAUUAAUGUUAUGAUUAAACUGUUUUUCAAUUCCA